rnacentral:rRNA from 1 species
ACGUAGGGGCAAGCGUUGCCCGGAUUCACUGGGCGUAAAGCGGGUGUAGGCGGUCCUCUAAGUCGGAUGUGAAAUCCUGCGGCUCAACCGCGGAACUGCAUCCGAUACUGGAGGACUUGAGGACGGUAGAGGUCGGUGGAAUCCCCGGUGUACCGGUGAAAUGGGCAGAUAUCGGGGGGAACACCAGUGGCGAAGGCGACCGACUGGGCCGAUCCUGACGCUGAGACCCGAAAGCCAGGGUAGCGAACCGG